rnacentral:rRNA from 1 species
AUUGAACGCUGGCGGCAUGCCUUACACAUGCAAGUCGAACGGUAACGGGUCCUUCGGGAUGCCGACGAGUGGCGAACGGGUGAGUAAUAUAUCGGAACGUGCCUAGUAGUGGGGGAUAACUGCUCGAAAGAGCAGCUAAUACCGCAUACGACCUGAGGGUGAAAGGGGGGGAUCGCAAGACCUCUCGCUAUUGGAGCGGCCGAUAUCAGAUUAGCUAGUUGGUGGGGUAAAGGCCUACCAAGGCAACGAUCUGUAGUUGGUCUGAGAGGACGACCAGCCACACUGGGACUGAGGCACGGCCCAGACGCCUACGGGAGGCAGCAGUGGGGAAUUUUGGACAAUGGGCGCAAGCCUGAUCCAGCAAUGCCGCGUGCAGGAAGAAGGCCUUCGGGUUGUAAACUGCUUUUGUCAGGGAAGAAAUCUUCUGGGCUAAUACCCCGGGAGGAUGACGGUACCUGAAGAAUAAGCACCGGCUAACUACGUGCCAGCAGCAGCCGCGG